UGCUUUAUAGUUGAUAAACAACAUUUAAUUGCAAAUUAAAAAGAGAUGUAAUCUAAAGCUU
rnacentral:tRNA from 1 species